rnacentral:rRNA from 1 species
UACGAAGGGGGCUAGCGUUGUUCGGAAUUACUGGGCGUAAAGCGCGCGCAGGCGGCUAUCCAAGUCAGUGGUGAAAGCCCGGAGCUCAACUCCGGAACUGCCAUUGAAACUGUUUAGCUUGAGGACGAGAGAGGUGAGUGGAAUUCCCAGUGUAGAGGUGAAAUUCGUAGAUAUUGGGAAGAACACCGGUGGCGAAGGCGGCUCACUGGCUCGUAUCUGACGCUCAGGCGCGAUAGCGUGGGGAGCGAACAGG